rnacentral:lncRNA from 1 species
GCAUGGCUCAAGGCAGAAAUUGUCUUCAUCCGACGGAAAAGGACUUCAGACCGAUAAAUAAGUAGUAGAAUAUGCAGACGACGUUGUCCUAAUGUUCACGGGGAAAUUCCCCCAAACACUCUGUGAUCUUAUGACCACAAAACUUGCGCGACUGUCAGAAUGGACAAGACUGUGUGGACUUGUACUAUUUACUUACAAGUACAAAACUCAGUCACUUAACCCCCCAAAUUUAAAAAAAUGUAGAUUUACC